GAUGAACGCUGGCGGCGUGCUUAACACAUGCAAGUCGAACGGGAGCCCAGGGGUGCUUGUACUUGCUGGUGAGAGUGGCGAACGGGUGAGUAACACGCGAGCAACCUGUCCUUUUCUUUCGGAUAAGCAUUCUAAAGGGUGUUUAAUACCCUAUGUUCUGUCUGCCUCGCAUGGGUAGGGUGGUAAAGGCUUGGGCCGGCUUUUGGUGGGCUCGCGGUCUAUCAGCUUGUUGGUGGGGUGAUGGCUUACUAAGGCGGUGACUGGUAGCGGGCGUGAGGGGGCGGUCGGACACAGUGGGACUGCGAAACGGCCCAGGCUGCUGCGGGAGGCAGCGGUGGGCGAUAGUGGCAAAUGGGAGACAGCCUGCUGGAGCGAGGGAGGGUGGGGGAUGGAGGGUUUAGGGUUGUAGACUUCUUUGGCUCUGAACAAGGUAUGACAGUGGGUGUGUUGAGGGUAGGGGUGGAUUAGCGCCGGCUAACUACGUG
rnacentral:rRNA from 1 species